rnacentral:lncRNA from 1 species
AUACACCUCUCGCUUCGAGGUUCGAGCUUAUCAUGAGUCUCGCGUCUCACGAAAGCCUCGCAACCCCAAAUCUUGAUGUGGUCUAGUUUAGGUACUUUACCAGUCCACAUCUCGUGAGGAGUUUUGGCAACUUUCUUUGUAGGGACUAGAUUAAGAAUAUGGGCGGCAGUCUCUAAGGCAUACCCCCAGAAUGAGAUUGGUAGCGUAGCUCGACUCAUCAUGGAACGAACCAUAUCUAACAAGGUUCGAUUACGCCUCUCAGCCACACCAUUCAACUGUGGUGUCCUGGGAGGUGUCAAUUGUGAGACUAUCCCACAUUCCCUUAGAUAGUCGAGGAACUCUGAACUAAGAUACUCACCACCACGAUCGGAUCGAAGCAUCUUAAUGUUCCUGCCCAAUUGAUUCUCGACUUCCUGUUUAAAUUCCUUAAACCUCUCGAAAGUCUCUGACUUAUGCUUGAUCAAGUAGACAUAUCCAUAUCUACUAUAAUCAUCAGUAAAAGUCAAAUAAUAACGAUUAGCAUCCCUUGUGGCAUGUUUGAAUGGUCCACACACAUCCGUGUGUAUAAGGUCCAACAAACCUUCACCCCUCUCACACGAACCUGUGAAGGGUGACUUUGUCAUUUUUCCAAGUAAGCAUGAUUCGCAACUAUCAUCUGACUUUAGGUCAAACGACUCCAAGACUCCAUCCUUUUGGAGUUGGCCUAUGCGUUUCUUGCUUAUAUGUCCAAGACGACAAUGCCAUAAAGAUGCUUUAUCCAAGUUAUUAUUAGUAGAAUCAAUACACAAAACAUUAUUUCCCAAGUUAUCUACAACAGAUACAGCUUCAUACACACCAUCACAAGGUAAUGCUUUAAAAUAAAAGACAUUAUUAUAGAAAACAUCUAUAGAACCAACUUCAUUAUUAAAUGAAAAGGUAAACCCUUGUUUGUACAAAGCAUGAAAGGAAAUAAUAUUUCUUGCCAUUCCUGGCGAAUAACAACACUUAUUCAAAUCUAAACUAAACCCACUACUUAGCGAUAAAGUAUAAACUCCAAUCUUGGUAACAGGUAUAGCUUUCCUAUUCCCCAUGAUCAAGUUUAUCCUUCCUUGCUCCACAUCCUCACUUCUUCUUAGUCCCUGCAAGUCACAACAAAUGUGAAUACCACACCCGGUAUCAAGGACCCAAGAAUUAGAAUGGGGUGAGUUAUUAGAAAUGAUAGUGUAAAUACCUGCAUGGUUGGGUUUAACUUUCCCAUCCUUCACAUCUUGCUGGUAUUUUGGGCAGUUCCGCUUCCAAUGAGCUUUUUCAUGGCAAUAGAAGCAUUCAGCCUCUUUUGGGUCAGAAGAAGGAGUAACGAAACCUUUCUUGGUUCCACUUGAAGAAGAGCCAUCAAGGGUCCGAGCCUUGGUACCCUUAGAAGAGCUCUUUCUCUUCCUCCCUCGACUUUUCCCGAUUGCCAAAACCGGAGUAGAGUUUUGAGUAGGAGUGAUAGCAACCGACUUCCCCUUAAGACCUGUUUCUGCGGUCUUGAGAAGUCCCUGAAGUUUGCUGAGGGUGACUUCUUCCUUGUUCAUGUGAUAUGUCAUGCGGAAUUGAUCAUAGCACGAUGGUAAGGAAUGCAAAAUAAUAUCUAUUGCAAGAUCCUCCGGGAAGUUCACAUUAAGCUUCAGCAAACGAUCCACAUACCUUUGCAUUUUCUGCAUGUGGCUCGUGACGGAUUCCCCGUCCUUCAUCAUGGUUGUUAUCAUGGAGCAGAUGAUUUCAUACCUCUCUUGUCUUGCACUUUGAUGGUAUCUUUCCAUCAAAUCUUGGUGCAUGUCAUAAGGGUAGAAAUCCUCAUAAGACUUUUGGAGUUCCGCUGUCAUCGUGGCCAUCAUGAUGCAAGCCACUUUCGUAGCAUCCCUUUCAUGUGCCCGAAAUUCAGCGAUCUCCUGAGGAGUUGCAGUGGACUCAUCAAUCUCCUUAAGCUCCUUGUCAAGGACAUAUUCUUUGUCCUCGUAGCGGGUAAUCAUCCUGAUGUUUCUGAUCCACUCAUUGAAGUUGGAUCCAUCAAAGGUGACUUUCCCACACAAGUUCAUAAGGGUAAAGGAGCCAUUAGGAUUAGAGCCAGAAGCAUUGUUGAAAGACAUCUGAAGGAAAGAGGACAAGAUUAGUUUAGAUAUAAGAGAGUCCUUAAUAAAACACCCAAAUGUAAUAUUAAGGCUAGGAUCCAAUCACAAUAUAAUAUAACUUAGAAGAGGUAUGCCGUAAUCUAAGCUAUAUCAUAUUUGAAAGGUAGGUGAAUGACGAUUCACCAAUUUCCACCACGAAAACCGCAAUAUUUUAGUAUUAGGUUUUUGAAUGGUUCUUAGAAAUUCCUAGAUUCUUUGAGAUUCAAUGAACUUUUCAAAGGCAUGUUUCAAUCUCGAGUGUGCCCUCCAAGUUUUGUGACUGGGAUACCGAGGAUCACAAAACGAGGUGUGAAGUAACCAUGCAAAUCACUUGGUACCCUUAAAGUUUAUCACUCAAUCGAUGUGCCGGUUAACCACACACGCUCCAUCGAUACUAUAAUAAACCCUAAGUCACCCUUUACCUACCUUGUUAAGUCCAAGUUAGUGUGCCGGUUAACCACACACGCUCCACCAACGACUUAAUCAAAGUGUAAAGUGUAAUUUCAUGGAAUAGCACCUUAUUCACAUUUUUCCUAAAGUAACUAAGAUUGGGAAUUUAAUAAAACAUUUAGUUACUUUAUAAUAUUCAUCAUACUUUGAAUGAGAAUUAAUAAGUCCUUGUCUUACCCGUUCGGCUAACGACCCUCCACCGAUCAAGCAAGCGGUGGGUGAGAGUGGACACCCAUUAAGUCACCAUUUUAUAGGCAACAACCUUAUACCCACCUUAUAGACCGGCUUCGUGAAUGAGGCGUACUAGCGGUAAGACGACUUUGUUCUUAUACAUAUAUAUAUAAUUAUUAAAUCAUAAUAAUAUAAGUAUAAGGGUUGAAUUUUAACUUUUAAAAUUCUAGGGGUUGGAACUAAAGUUUUAACUUAACUUUACUUGUUCCAAAACUUGAGGGCAAGUUUUGUAAACUUUCAAAACUUUUCAUUUCUUGUAACUUAUGAGUUUAAUAGAGUAAUAAAAUGAGGACUUUUCAUUUUUCCUAACUCUUGUGUUCUUUUAAUGGUUUUUAAUCCAAGAGACUUUUGGUUUUCCAUAACUUGAGGACAAGUUAUGGACUCCAUUAAAACACAUUAUGAUCAUGAAUUAAUCUACCACAUAGGUUACAAAUAAUUCCUAUGAUCAUCUAAACAUCAUAAGAACAAGAAUAUGAAUAUGAACACUUUCAAGAAUCAAAAUCACAUUUAAUCUUUGUAAUUUUGAUAACUAGUUGUUGUAAAUGAGUUAGAAAAGACAUUACACCUUCUAAAAUAAGUUUUCAAGUACCAAAACAUUUUAGGGUAAUGAUUCUAAUCCAUUUCCAGCAACUCAAGUCGAAAUUCUGCACUCUGUCGACCCUACUCGCCGAGUGCAUAAACCUACUCGCCGAGUAGGUUGAAGAUACACAUGAACUCGACGAGUCCUCCCCAUGGACUCGCCGAGUCCAUCAGUCAGACAGCAGAAUUUUCGACUUUCUUCAACUUUUAAGCACAAAUAACAAACAAACAAGCCUAGGCUCUGAUACCACUGAUGGGUUUUGAGCAUUCUAACACUUCCUAAGUGUACAUGCAACCCUAAUAACCUUGGAUCUAUGUUUGUCUAAUUAUCAUGCAAAGUUGAAUUCCAAGGUUAUAUUCCUAUCUAGCAUACAUGGGGAACAAUUUUAACUUGAAUCAUAGAUAGAAUAACUUACCUUGUUGUUGCUUGUGUUCCUUGAAACCUUGUGAGCCUAGCACCCCAAGUGUGAUGCCUCAAAUGCUUCACACAACACCAAAUGCUCUUGGAAAGACUCUUGAGAUAACACACACUUCUCAAAAUCGGCCAAGCCCUCUAGUUUCUUAGUGUUCAACUUGUGUAGCCAAUUUUGUGGAGAAUGGGACUCUUAUAUAGUGUUGGCACAUCUAGGGUUACACCAUGUAAACCCUAAUGUGUCAUGACUCUUCAUUUCCAUGACCCAUGGGUUUGUAACUCCCAUGGAGCAUCCAUGGAGCAUCCUAUGGGUAGAACCCAACUUGAUAAUCCAUGGAGCCUCUUAGCCCACUAUACAAGAUAUGGAUGAUUUACAUAAUCAACCCAUAUAUUUAAUUAGUUAUCCUUUGAUCACUUAAUUAAUUCCAAAUUAAUUCUUUGAUCAACUAAUCAAAUAAUAUUAUUAAUAUAUUAGAACUUAUAAUAUAUUAAUAAUCUCCAAGUGUUAUUUCUCUCAUUUAGUCUAUCCAAUUGCAUGGUGCCAUGCAACCCAAAUGGACCAUGCCGGGUCGGGUCAAGUACAAGCCCGAAAUAGUUAUGGACUUAGACACCUUAUCCAACAGUCUCCCACUUGGAUAAGUCUAAUAACUAUAUCUCUAGUACUUCAGGAACCGACCGGCAAUCGUAGCUCUUUCAAGGUCUCUCGGAACUGAGAAGAUGAUGGUACGCCAUUUAAGAUAAGUGAUCAUAUAAUCCUCCGUUCUAGAUAUCAGCCGGACAAAUACAUGGAACAUUGUCUUGCUUAUUGUCCAGCAUUUGUUUCCCGAUUUCCGAUUUGUUUGACAUAGAACUUAAUUGAACACAUCAACUUAGUUCUGACCGGGCCCGGUACAUGGGUCAAAACAAAAUCAUCGAGGGGCCCAGAUAUCAGCUUCUAAUCCAAGAAGGAACAGAUAAACUUCGACUCAUAUGUUUGUUCUACCACUCAUUGAAUUACACACAAAAGUACGUUUUAUAACAUCGAGUUACCAAUGCGGUUUCGUACAGUCAAUGCAUAACCAACUUGUAAGUAACAAAUCAUAUCUCUAGGUUUGAAGACUUAUAUGAUAUUACCGUCUCACGAUCACUCGAGAUAGAAUUCCAUGAAGUGAUUCCAGUGAGCGUGGGUUGAGUCCAAUGCUCAGAACUUAUGAGCACUCAUGAUUGUUGUAGCCUUGUCCAAGACCUCUACAACCAAACAUGACAGUCUUGAUUCAUAUCUACUUCCAACAUAUGACCGACUGUGGAGGUUUGAAUAAUAUGUUAUACCAAACAAAAUUAUUCUGGAAGUCAAAACAUGCAAAAGAAAUAUAGUAAACGAUCGACAAGAGAUAGCAACACUUUACUCAUAAAUAAAACACCUUUUAUUCAUCAUCAAAUGUCAAUUACACUUUACAAAUUUCUGGGUUAUCUAACUACUAAAACUUAUAUCAUCCUUCAGCCCUAUGCUCCGAGCAUGCUGGAGAUGCUUAACCCUACUCAGUCCCUUCGUGAGGGGAUCUGCUGGGUUCUCAUCCGAUGAUACCCUCUUUGCCACGAGGAGUCCUUCUUCGAUCCGAUGUCUAAUGAAAUGGUAUUUUCUGUCGAUGUGUCUGGAUCUCCCAUGAUCCCUUGGUUCCUUGGCUAAGGCAACAGCACUUUCACUAUCACAGAAAAUUUCCAUUGGCUCUUUAAUAGCUGGUACAACUCCAAGGUCUCCAAUGAAGUUCUUCAGCCAUAUCGCCUCCUUUGCUGCUUCACUAGCUGCAAUAUACUCUGAUUCACAAGUAGAAUCUGCCACUGUCUCUUGCUUGGAACUCUUCCAAGAAAUUGCUCCUCCGUUUAGGGUAAAGACCCAGCCCGACUGAGAGCGGAAAUUAUCCCUAUCAGUCUGGAAGCUAGCAUCACUAUACCCUACAACUCUCAAGUCAUCACUCCCACCGAGGGUAAGGACCCAGUCCUUAGUCCUCCGUAGGUACUUGAGGAUAUUCUUUACCGCAGUCCAGUGUGCCUUGCCAGGGUUCGCCUGAUACCUGCUAACCAUGCUCAAGGCAAAAGCUACAUCGGGUCGAGUACACGUCAUAGCAUACAUGAUCGAUCCUACAGCCGAAGCGUAAGGUGUUCGACUCAUUUCUGCUAUCUCAGCCUCAGUGCUAGGGCUUUGUGUCUUACUCAAUCUGGUGUUACUCUGGAUGGGUAACUCUCCUUUCUUGGAAUCCUGCAUGCUGAAUCUCUUCAGCACCUUAUCCAAGUAGGUACUCUGACUAAGUCCAAUUAGUCUUUUACUCCGAUCUCUCAAGAUUCUUAUCCCUAGAAUAUAGGCAGCUUCACCAAGGUCCUUCAUAGCGAAACACUUCCCAAGCCAGGACUUUACUUCCUGCAGGGUUGGAAUGUCGUUUCCUAUGAGUAGUAUGUCAUCCACAUACAAUACCAAAAAGCUAACUAUACUCCCACUAGCCUUGACAUACACACAAGAUUCAUCUUCACUCCUAGAAAAGCCAAAUUCCUUGACCUUUUCAUCAAAGCAAAGAUUCCAUCUGCGAGGUGCUUGCUUCAAUCCAUAAAUGGAUUUCUCAAGCUUACACACUCUAUUAGGGUACUCGUUGCUGACAAAACCCUCUGGCUGACUCAUGUAAACAUCUUCAGCCAACUUUCCAUUAAGGAAAGCGGUUUUGACAUCCAUCUGCCAUAUUUCAUAGUCAUGAAAUGCAGCUAUGGCUAACAGAACCCGAAUAGACUUAAUCUUGGCUACCGGAGAAAAGGUCUCAUCAUAAUCCACUCCAGGAAUUUGAGAGAAGCCCUUUGCAACCAGUCUAGCCUUAUAAGUGUGUACUUUACCAUCCAUGUCGGUCUUCUUCUUGAAGACCCAUUUGCACCCUACUGUCUUACGACCUGGUACAUUUUCAACCAAGUUCCAAACUUGAUUGUCAUACAUGGAUUGUAUCUCGCUAUCCAUAGCCUCUUUCCAUUUAGCAGACUCGGGGCCUGCCAUGGCUUCCUCGUAGCUGUUAGGGUCAUCUUGACUUACUAGUGUCUCAUCACUAAUAAGUGUCUCACCUUCUGCAGUAAUAUGGAAUCCAUAGUAAUGCUCAGGUGCACUCCUAACUCUCGUGGAACGUCUCAGAGGUACAGAUUUGUCAAUUGGCUCAACAGGAGUUUCCUCCUCAAGUUGAGGGCUAGAGUUUGAAGUUCCUUCACCACUUGACUCUUAAUGUUCUUCAAGGUCAAUUUGCCUCCCACUGUCUCCUUGGCUUAUAAAUUCUCUCUCUUGAAAGAUUCCUCUUCUUGCUACAAAGACCACAUUAUCAAUAGGUCUGUAAAAGAGGUACCCAAAGGAUCUUUGUGGGUAGCUGAUGAAAAUACACCUCUCGCUUCGGGGUUCUAGCUUAUCAUGAGACUCGCACCUCACAAAAGCCUCGCAACCCCAAAUCUUGAUGUGGUCUAUUUUAGGUACUUUACCAUUCCACAUCUCGUGAGGAGUUUUGGCAACUUUCUUUGUAGGGACUAGAUUAAGAAUAUGGGCGGCAGUCUCUAAGGCAUACCCCCAGAAUGAGAUUGGUAGCGAAGCUCGACUCAUCAUGGAACGAACCAUAUCCAACAAGGUUCGAUUACGCCUCUCA